rnacentral:rRNA from 1 species
UACAGAGGUCCCAAGCGUUGUUCGGAUUCAUUGGGCGUAAAGGGUGCGUAGGCGGCGCGGUAAGUCGGGUGUGAAAUCUCGGGGCUUAACUCCGAAACUGCAUUCGAUACUGCCGUGCUUGAGGACUGGAGAGGAGACUGGAAUUUACGGUGUAGCGGUGAAAUGCGUAGAUAUCGUAAGGAAGACCAGUGGCGAAGGCGGGUCUCGUGGACAGUUCCUGACGCUGAGGCACGAAGGCCAGGGAGCAAACGGG